GACGAACCGAGCGAACGUUGUUCGGAAUCACUGGGCUUAAAGGGCGCGUAGGCGGGCUGUCAAGUCUGGGGUGAAAUCCCGCGGCUCAACCGUGGAACUGCCUCAGAUACUGACGGCCUCGAGGAAGGUAGGGGCGAGCGGAACGGGUGGUGGAGCGGUGAAAUGCGUUGAUAUCACUCGGAACUCCGGUGGCGAAAGCGGCUCGCUGGGCCUUUUCUGACGCUGAUGCGCGAAAGCUAGGGGAGCAAACGGG
rnacentral:rRNA from 1 species